UACAGAGGUCUCAACCGUUGUUCGGAUUCAUUGGGCGUAAAGGGUGCGUAGGCGGUCGUGCAAGUCGGAUGUGAAAUCUCAGGGCUCAACCCUGAAACUGCAUUCGAUACUGCGUGGCUAGAGUGCUGGAGAGGAGACUGGAAUUUACGGUGUAGCAGUGAAAUGCGUAGAUAUCGUAAGGAAGACCAGUGGCGAAGGCGGGUUGCUGGGCCGACACUGACGCUGAUGCGCGAAAGCCAGGGGAGCGAACGGG
rnacentral:rRNA from 1 species